AAGUGAGUGGAUAGAGCGGCUCAAGAGCCAUAGAGACGACAAAAAGAGCGUAGUCAAAAGGCUACUGUACCCCCCGCCCUUGUGGUACAGACUAGCGCGAAGGCGCGCUAGGGACGAGGUCCCGUGAGGCAGGGGCUCUACCCAGCCCCUGCGACCGGUGACAGCGGAGCUCCAGGGCAGCAAGUGCCCUGGCUAAGGCAGCUUGGGCGGCAAGGAGCAGAGUUGCAGGGGGAAGCUUGUUACUGCCCUUCCCUGAGCUACCUCGCAGGGAUGCGCCCAGUGCAGGGCCGCCCUAUCUUAGCCCUGGGCGGAGUCCAGCGGACCCCCACCAGUCCUGGGCCCCAGCCAUUGUACAGUCCCCGAUUGGCAGCAGCCCUGGCCUCCCUUACACACACAAGUAAUGGGGCUUCAGCCCUGUCCUAAGAGGCAGGCAAAGGAGGGCGCCCCCCCCCCCCCCCCCAGCUCAGCCUUGGAGGUGAAUUGAGCCCAACCCUUUAGGACAGGAAGCGAAGAAUAGGAGCCCUGGGCACCUUUCUUUUGAACGGAAAACAAUGUACUUACCCGUCCAGCCAGUCCUCCUCCUGUGGCUAGUGAGGAGGAGGGAGGAUUUCUACAUUGUCCUAGACAGGAAGAAAAAUUCCUACCCACUCCAACAGGGAAUAUUAGUCCUGGAAAGAGGAAGAGAUCCUUGGGAAAGCUGGUGGGAAGAAGGAUCCAUGAGUGGACAUAUGAAUGCAUGUGUGCAUGGCCAUGUUGAAAGAACGAACAAACAACGGAGAGCUGCAAAGCCACGCCACACCAGAAGCUAAGGUGACUGUGCUCAAGGAUUCAGAACAUGGACUCAAGCCUGUUCUACACUAAUAAAUUGACCUGUUGCUAAAAAAUGGUUGUUGGGAGUAGAUCCCCUUGAACUGAUGCUUUCCAUACUGAGGCUGGAGUUUAUAAUGCUAGCCAUUAAACCAUUUUCAGCACUGGUUUAGAGGAACCUAUUACUAAAAGUCAUCUUUAGCAAUGGGUAAAAUUCCAAUCUAGAGGUAAAACUCACUGAAGACCAAGGAACAGUUAACUGUUUGGCAUUCCCAUUCAGUAAUAAUUUUACAUUUAACCAAGUUAUCAUGAACCAUCAAUACAUUAUGUAUACAUCAAUACAUUAUAGAUGUAAUGCAUUAUACAUUUUGGGAAUACAACCCAUAACUGAAAAUGAGGCAGUUUGAUUUUUAAAACAAACUGUUCUCCCAACUGUUUCAGGCACUAUGGUAAGGUGAAUUUUUAGAAGUAUGUGUUAACUGCUACAUACAUUAAAAGGAAGGGAUUUUGACUUUUUGCUUUGUGCCGUCACAAUUCACUAGUUCCACUCUUGUCCAGUUAUUCAGAGUAAGCAAUUUAAUAUAAAAUCCUCAGGCUCUCUAUACACAUAGUAAACCCCCACCAGCAUCCCAACGGCUCAAAGUAAUACAUAGUAACCCCACCAUGCCCCCAAAAAAGCACAAACUGGAAAGUCUAUAAACAAUAAAAUACAACAGCAAGAAAUAUAUGAAAUG